ACACAUGCAAGUCGAACGGUAACAGGGUGCUUGCACCGCUGACGAGUGGCGAACGGGUGAGUAAUGCAUCGGAAUGUACCGUGUAAUGGGGGAUAGCUCGGCGAAAGCCGGAUUAAUACCGCAUACGCCCUGAGGGGGAAAGUGGGGGACCGAAAGGCCUCACGUUAUACGAGCAGCCGAUGUCUGAUUAGCUAGUUGGUGAGGUAAAGGCUCACCAAGGCGUCGAUCAGUAGCGGGUCUGAGAGGAUGAUCCGCCACACUGGGACUGAGACACGGCCCAGACUCCUACGGGAGGCAGCAGUGGGGAAUUUUGGACAAUGGGCGCAAGCCUGAUCCAGCCAUGCCGCGUGUCUGAAGAAGGCCUUCGGGUUGUAAAGGACUUUUGUCCGGGAGCAAAUCCUAGUGGUUAAUAACCGCUGGGUCUGAGAGUACCGGAAGAAUAAGCACCGGCUAACUACGUGCCAGCAGCCGCGGUAAUACGUAGGUGCAAGCGUUAAUCGGAAUUACUGGGC
rnacentral:rRNA from 1 species